CAGCUAGUUGGCGGGGUAAUGGCCCACCAAGGCUUUGAUCGGUAGCCGGCCUGAGAGGGCGCACGGCCACACUGGAACUGAAACACGGUCCAGACUCCUACGGGAGGCAGCAGUGGGGAAUAUUGCACAAUGGGCGAAAGCCUGAUGCAGCGACGCCGCGUGAGGGAUGACGGCCUUCGGGUUGUAAACCUCUUUCAGCAGGGAAGAAGCGCAAGUGACGGUACCUGCAGAAGAAGCACCGGCUAACUACGUGCCAGCAGCCGCGGUAAUACGUAGGGUGCGAGCGUUGUCCGGAUUUAUUGGGCGUAAAGAGCUCGUAGGCGGCUUGUCGCGUCGGAUGUGAAAGCCCGGGGCUUAACUCCGGGUCUGCAUUCGAUACGGGCAGGCUAGAGUGUGGUAGGGGAGAUCGGAAUUCCUGGUGUAGCGGUGAAAUGCGCAGAUAUCAGGAGGAACACCGGUGGCGAAGGCGGAUCUCUGGGCCAUUACUGACGCUGAGGAGCGAAAGCGUGGGGAGCGAACAGGAUUAGAUACCCUGGUAGUCCACGCCGUAAACGUUGGGAACUAGGUGUGGGUCACAUUCCACGUGGUCCGCGCCGCAGCUAACGCAU
rnacentral:rRNA from 1 species